UGGUCGUCUACUGCAGCUGUAAAUAGCACACGCCAUAAUGAAAUCACUACGAAAUGGGAUGCCUGCAUUUUCUGACUUCGCACAGACUUACAUGGAAACCGGAUAUGAAAACACCUAUACUGGAGCCAACCGUAGUGGCGCUAGUGAGGAACCAGGAACAACAAGACCAGGAAACGAGCUUCAAAAACGAAGUCUGGUUUUGGACGCUUGGUAUAGACUCACUUUUCUUUAUAUACGCUUUCAACGGUAACAACAUAAACAAACGUUACUGCGCAUGUGCGUUGUUCUGGCCCUAACUUAACUUCCGACAGACUUCCGCAAACAAUCAAUAACAACAGAGUCUCUCUGGGAUAUUUUUGAUAACAAGCAAAAUAAUAAUAAUAAUAUUUUAUAUAGCGCUUUUCACAGUCUCAAAGACGCUUUACAAAACAGGGAAGAAACAAUCAACAAAAGAAACCAGGAUACAAGCAUAAUUUAUAACAAGUAAAUUACGUUAGCUAUUUAAAAUUAUGUCUAGCCAGUAUUAUCUGGGGUCACCAGUCACAGAAAAGAACCGUUACUUGGCCAAACUCAAAUGCGAUAAUGUAACACUCCCAGACCCUUUCAACAAAAUGUUAAGACAAGAAUGUUUUUCUACAGACCUGUCUGAUUUACCGGAGGUCAGUCAGGUACACAUCUUUGAAUACCUAGUCGAGAGGGAAUUGGGAUGGCAGGUAUGCCAUCCCGCCAAGUUACGCCUUGGUGGGGGCAUGCCCCAUACCUAUACAGCACCGAGAGUUCGGCACUUUUCAGGGUUCCCCACAGAAAUAACCACAACAGCCACAGACACUCAGCCCUUAAAAACAUUAAAUUCUGUACAUUCUGACCCCAUUUCAACAAACCGAUUGGGAUGGCAGGUAUGCCAUCCUGCCAAGUUACGCCUUGGCGGGGGCAUGCCCCAUACCUAUACAGCACCGAGAGUUUGGCACUUUUCAGGGUUCCCCACAGAAAUAACCACAACAGCCACAGACACUCAGCCCUUAAAAACAUUAAAUUCUGUACAUUCUGACCCCAUUUCAACAGACAGAUUUCAUAAACAACUUCACAUGUCCACACAAUAAAGCCCCAAACUAAGGGGAUUUUGUGUUUUCUCCUUCUUCUCUUUCUUCUUCUUCUUCUUCUCAUUCUUAUUUUUCCUGCCGCCUAUCCCACUAACAACAUGUCUCCCCAUUGGAUAUUUUACCGACACCAGCCAAAUCCUCACCCUCACGACCCAAUCAAAAACUCGCAUACACACGCAAAAUACCCAUACAUUUUUAUUCUGAAACAUUUCCAGUUUGAACAGUUAAUCUGCAUGUGGCCUAGUGGGUAAGGUUACAGUCUUGGGAACAUGGGGUCAUAGGUUCAAGCCCAGCUAAGGACAUGUUUCUUUAACCUGCUUUUACCCUCGCUAAUAAUUGUCUACUACUUCUCAAUUAUUGCUUUUGCACCAUAUCUACCAGCCAUUCACCGAACGUAUACACUGCAUUAUGACGUACCGUCUGCACGUUCAGUUAUUAACCGGCUACAAUAUUGCAAAGCCAUAUGGAUUCAACGGGAGCUCUUCUGUGCUUACUGGCCUGUGUUCUUCUUUAAAACCACAGACAGGUUUGCUAAUGAUAUUUCGCGCAUUGCAUAGCUAUGUCAUGGUGCUGCACUAACAAAGUCACAGACUGGUAAACCUCCGGUUUAAGGAUUGAAUCCCGCCUCGCCCUCAGGCAGAUAAUUUCCUCUUUUACACUAACGUUUUCUUACGCUUUUAUAUUUUCUUUAUCAAAACUCACUCACGGCCACUCAUAUACAUUUCAUGACGGCAAAUGUAUUCCUUUUAUUAAAAAGUUACACCAGUUCACCACUGUGUCAUUUCUACUAACUAUAUUUCUUCACCUGGCUAUCGUACAAAACCUUCUUAUCAGCAAACGCCACGUUUCUACAUUCAUGUUACCUCGCCCUGUUCUCUAUCUAGCCACAUACAAACAAUUACUACGCAUGUACGUUCUGCAACUCCCCAUUAAAACAUUACAUUUAAAACCAUGAGUCACUCAUAAGUAUAACUACUAGUACUGAACAUGAAAAAAGCACAUUAGUGCAAUAGAUUUCACACGUUACUUAACCCUCCACUUCAACAGAUGAUACUUUACACCGACUAUUAUACCAUUCCAUAAGGAAACUAAGCUCGCUCAUGGUCACUUUAUUUACUCCGCACUAUAGUCUGUGAUCAUCUCAACCUUCACCUACAUACCCAUUCUGCUAAAAACAUAUUGUUUCAACUACGCAAUUUCAUCAUUUCGUCCUAAUUUCUCUCACGCUGUUGUUAUUUUCUCAUAUGCAAAGCCUGCUGGGACAUAUGCGUCUGCUCCUAUUCUCCACUAUCAAGUUUUCCGGUUCUAGCUUAGCAAAACAGCGAACAGGAUUCCAACCUGCAGAUAAGCCUAUCAAAAUGCCUCAUAAACCUUACAAACACUAAAAGUGCAUCACCACGAAAUAACAGACAACGGAGCAGGACAGCAGGGUACACAAGUUGCGACCUAGGCAGCUCUAAUUCUACGGGCUUGCUGAUUCUUUUCUCAAUCAAGGCUCGUUGAGUACAUACAUACACUGGCCAUAUUUCACCUGCGUUUCUGUUGCGUUUAUGCUUACGCCACCGCACCCUUUGUCACAGCCACUGUUUAACAUGUAUAGCAAACCGAAACUGCUAAACAGUACACGCUCAUCAUACUGUACAAAUUCACACAAGGAUAGCCAUAAUCCACAACCGUUUCUUACAGGGUCACUUCGCAUUUCUCGCUCUCGUAAUAAAACGCUUUGCAAAAAGAAAUGAUAUCUCAUAAAAAACACGUUUUCAACGUACAAAAAUGCCAAGUUACUCAAAAGUAUUGAUAUCAAAAUGACGCCAAGUUACGGUACUACAAACAAUAUAGGCUAUCUUGCCUCACCGAAAUUACAUAAGAUGUAUUUCAAAGCAAUGCUACCCAAUAUUUCCUCAAUUCUUUCAACGUGUUUUUUAUGAGAUGUGUAUAUACAAGGUUCAAGGCAUAUCGCAGCUUGGAUGCCUAUAACUAUUUUAUACUAUCCUAACCCACAAGAAUGGAAAUACCUGUGUCGUUUACGGGGAAAUCGAGGCAGGUCAGGCGCUUUCCAAGCGCUACUCCGCCUGGAUCGUUGCGACGAAGUCCGGUGAAGUCCAGUGUGGGCAUUGCACCUGCAUGGCAGGCAAUGGAGAGGUGUGUAGCCAUGUGGGCACGAUUUUGGUUACUGUGGAGCAGUGUGUCCAGGAUGGACUCCAGAGUGGCCCAUCCGUCACCUCAAAACCAAGUGUUUGGUCACGGGUGACUAAGAAGGCUGAUCCACAACCAGUAGCUCAAUGUGAUUUCUUGAAACCUGGCAAGAGGAUGCGGCUACAAGCUCCCCUCUGCCUUCCCCCGCUAAAUCCAGAUGGGUCACCAAAAAAGCUUUUUAAGGCCCUGAAUGUAAGUUAUAGGUCACAUAUAUCCAACAAAUCCACCAGUUAGCCUAAUUUAAAAGAUUCAGUACUAUAUAUAUGGCAGUGUAGGUGAGUAAAGUCUUUUCACAUUUUCUUUUAGGAAGUUGUGCCAGACUGUGCUCUCUUUAAUGUCAUGUGUGACAGCAGUGAGACAGACACAGCCUCUGAGUCAGGUAGCCAGGAUUUCACCAGCAUUCAGGGACAGCAGGAUGCGCAGGGAGAGGAACCCGACGUGUUCAGCAGCUUACCUCAGCCCCACAGUGAGCAUGGUAGCGCUCUGCGCUGUCCAAAGUGCACAACAUUUUAUGAUGCCUUCAUUAAACUGAGCCCUGAUCAAGUGGUAGAACUAGAGAGAAACACCAGAAAACAGAGCAUAGAACCACUCUGGCAUGAUGCGGGCAAGCUG